rnacentral:rRNA from 1 species
GGUAGCACAGAGAGCUUGCUCUCGGGUGACGAGCGGCGGACGGGUGAGUAAUGUCUGGGAAACUGCCUGAUGGAGGGGGAUAACUACUGGAAACGGUAGCUAAUACCGCAUAACGUCGCAAGACCAAAGUGGGGGACCUUCGGGCCUCAUGCCAUCAGAUGUGCCCAGAUGGGAUUAGCUAGUAGGUGGGGUAACGGCUCACCUAGGCGACGAUCCCUAGCUGGUCUGAGAGGAUGACCAGCCACACUGGAACUGAGACACGGUCCAGACUCCUACGGGAGGCAGCAGUGGGGAAUAUUGCACAAUGGGCGCAAGCCUGAUGCAGCCAUGCCGCGUGUGUGAAGAAGGCCUUCGGGUUGUAAAGCACUUUCAGCGGGGAGGAAGGCGUUAAGGUUAAUAACCUUGUCGAUUGACGUUACCCGCAGAAGAAGCACCGGCUAACUCCGUGCCAGCAGCCGCGGUAAUACGGAGGGUGCAAGCGUUAAUCGGAAUUACUGGGCGUAAAGCGCACGCAGGCGGUCUGUCAAGUCGGAUGUGAAAUCCCCGGGCUCAACCUGGGAACUGCAUUCGAAACUGGCAGGCUAGAGUCUUGUAGAGGGGGGUAGAAUUCCAGGUGUAGCGGUGAAAUGCGUAGAGAUCUGGAGGAAUACCGGUGGCGAAGGCGGCCCCCUGGACAAAGACUGACGCUCAGGUGCGAAAGCGUGGGGAGCAAACAGGAUUAGAUACCCUGGUAGUCCACGCCGUAAACGAUGUCGAUUUGGAGGUUGUGCCCUUGAGGCGUGGCUUCCGGAGCUAACGCGUUAAAUCGACCGCCUGGGGAGUACGGCCGCAAGGUUAAAACUCAAAUGAAUUGACGGGGGCCCGCACAAGCGGUGGAGCAUGUGGUUUAAUUCGAUGCAACGCGAAGAACCUUACCUGGUCUUGACAUCCACAGAACUUUCCAGAGAUGGAUUGGUGCCUUCGGGAACUGUGAGACAGGUGCUGCAUGGCUGUCGUCAGCUCGUGUUGUGAAAUGUUGGGUUAAGUCCCGCAACGAGCGCAACCCUUAUCCUUUGUUGCCAGCGGUUAGGCCGGGAACUCAAAGGAGACUGCCAGUGAUAAACUGGGAGGAAGGGGGGGAUGACGUCAAGUCAUCAUGGGCCCUUACGACCCGGGGCUACCCCCGUGCUACAAUGGCAUAUACAAAGAGAAGCGACCUCGCGAGAGCAAGCGGACCUCAUAAAGUAUGUCGUAGUCCGGAUUGGAGUCUGCAACUCGACUCCAUGAAGUCGGAAUCGCUAGUAAUCGUAGAUCAGAAUGCUACGGUGAAUACGUUCCCGGGCCUUGUACACACCGCCCGUCACACCAUGGGAGUGGGUUGCAAAAGAAGUAGGUAGCUUAACCUUCGGGAGGGCGCU